CUCCUACCUGAGACCUUCCAAAGGAAUUUUUAAAAGCUGUGGAGGGGAGCUGUUAAUGGCAGCAGUGCUUGGCUGAGGCCUGAGGCACAGAGCAUUAUCUCUUGCUUGCUUGUUUCCUCUGAAUUGCAUGGACAGCCUGUCCCCAAGGCUCCCUGUUCUGUCUCUGAAGGUCCCUUUGGGCUGAGAAAUUGUUUCCAAAGAUCUCCACAGAAUGCCU